UCCCGGUUGCCCGGGCAGUCUCCUGCGAAAGUAUAACGCAGAACAGGGGUUGCGCUCGUUACCCCACUUAAGGGAACAGCUCACGCCACGAGCUGACGACAACCAUGCAGCACCUACUCAGCACCCUCGAAGGCGGCCUCCGUUUCUGGAGGCUUGCAGCUGAAUUUCAAGCCCAGGUAAGGUUCCUCGCUUACCGUCGAAUUAAACCACAUGCUCCACCGCUUGUGCGGGUCCCCGUCUAUUCCUUUGAGUUUUAGUCUUGCGACCGUACUCCCCAGGCGGAGUGCUUAACGCGUUAGCUUGGUUAACCGACACCGGGAGGGUCGAUACUCCCGAUAUCUAGCACUCAUCGUUUAGGGCGUGGACUA
rnacentral:misc_RNA from 1 species